rnacentral:lncRNA from 1 species
AUGUCUAAGCAACAGCCAACUCAGUUUGUAAAUCCAGAAACUUCUACCUAUGUUGGUCUUGCAAAUUUUCCCAAUGAAGCUCAAAAAAAAAAGAAAAAGAGAGAGAAACCACAGUAGUUUGGGAUUCCAGUUCACACCUGAUGGUGCUUGGUGACUCAGGUCUAGGAAAAUCAGCUCUCAUAAACACCCUGUUCCUGACUGAUCUCCACUCAGAUUGUCCCUGGGGCCUCAGAUGGUAGUGGACACCUAUUUAUGGAGACGCCAGCCACUACAAGGACCGCUUGAAUAGUUGUCUCCUACCCUGCUGAGCAGUUUGAAUGCUCCCUGCACGAUGAGAGGGCACAUCACUGAUAACAGGGUGCACAUGGGUAGAAGCCCUUGGAUGCUGCAUUUAUGAAAGUGAUAUACAACGAGCUGAAUGACAGGCCUGUCACUGGGAAAGCCGACAUUUUUCACUCCGUGGGAACCUGAGCAGCUGGAGAAUGGGAUUCUGGGUGAAACGGAGCAUGAAACAUCAAAAUCUACCACUUACCUGAAGCAGAACCAGAUGAAGAUUUUAAAGAGCAGGCUAGGCUUCUUAAGGCCAGGGUCUCAUUUUUUUCUGGUUUUAUCAAACUAGUUGAUAAAAACCAAGCCAAGGUCAAAGGUCACCUCUGCCCGCCUCUGCCCGUGGGGUGUUGUGGAUGUUGGAAACCCAGAAACCGUGGCUUUCUGAACUGUGAAUCAUUCUCACCGUUAACAUGUAGAACCCCCAGGAAGUAACCCAGGACCUUCCCCUAGGUUGAGUAGGUUCCCAAAGGCUGAAGGGAGACUGUGGGGAGCAGAGAACAGGAAUUCCAGGAAAGACUGGAUUUUGCUGGAAAUGGAGGCUGAACACCCCAUGCAGGAGAUGAUCUCCACGAUGUGAACACAGAUGCAGGCAGGGUGGUGACAGUGAUGGGGGACCCUAGGGCAUCAUGUG